UGCUGCUUGUUGCUGAUGUUUCUGCCCAAAUAUCAUGAAAUGUGGAGAAGAAAGAACACUCACAUGUGCCCUGGAGACUUUGCUUUUAUUUUUAAACAUUGUUUUUUCUAUUGGGUUUGACCAACUCUAUAUCCAACUUGAUCAGCUCUGAAGGAAAGCUUCCAAUUAUGGAGAAGGAGUCCUCUGAAGUGGCUAAAUUCACACAUAGACAAAAGAAAAGAUGAGUUUAUGCCCAGGACCACCAGAUAAUUGAGUCCUAUACAAAAGCUUCUAAUCCAUGUGCUGUGGCUCAGGACUAUACACAGAAAAAACACACAGUUUUUAAAUUGAUUGUUUAAAAGGAAACAUAUUUAUGACAUUUGUUCCAUGAUGUGUAUCUCUCACCUUGUUAGCUCAGGCAGAAUUAAAAUGCUAGACAAUAA